AUUGAACGCUGGCGGCAUGCCUUACACAUGCAAGUCGAACGGUAACAGGUCUUCGGAUGCUGACGAGUGGCGAACGGGUGAGUAAUACAUCGGAACGUGCCUAGUAGUGGGGAAUAACUACUCGAAAGAGUGGCUAAUACCGCAUGAGAUCUACGGAUGAAAGCAGGGGAUCGCAAGACCUUGUGCUACUAGAGCGGCCGAUGGCAGAUUAGGUAGUUGGUGGGAUAAAAGCUUACCAAGCCGACGAUCUGUAGCUGGUCUGAGAGGACGAUCAGCCACACUGGGGCUGAGACACGGCCCAGACUCCUACGGGAGGCAGCAGUGGGGAAUUUUGGACAAUGGGCGCAAGCCUGAUCCAGCAAUGCCGCGUGCAGGAUGAAGGCCUUCGGGUUGUAAACUGCUUUUGUACGGAACGAAAAGCCCUGGGUUAAUACCCUGGGGUCAUGACGGUACCGUAAGAAUAAGCACCGGCUAACUACGUGCCAGCCGCCGCGGUAACAC
rnacentral:rRNA from 1 species